UACGGGGGGAGCAAGCGUUGUUCGGAUUCAUUGGGCGUAAAGGGUGUGUAGGUGGCGCCGUAAGUCGGGUGUGAAAUCUCGGGGCUUAACUCCGAAACUGCAUUCGAUACUGCGGUGCUUGAGGACUGGAGAGGAGACUGGAAUUCAUGGUGUAGCAGUGAAAUGCGUAGAGAUCAUGAGGAAGACCAGUGGCGAAGGCGGGUCUCUGGACAGUUCCUGACACUGAGACACGAAGGCCAGGGGAGCAAACGGG
rnacentral:rRNA from 1 species